rnacentral:lncRNA from 1 species
ACCCUAGGUAAAUAUGCGAGAUGAAUAUCUAGGUAAAUAUCCAGGAGUGGGACUGCUAGGUCAGAGCAGACAGUUUUCUCAAUCGGUUGUCCCAGUGCACAGCGUAACAAGCAGUGAGUGGGAACUCCCAUUGCACACGUCCCAGGAUGGGCUCCCUGGAAGCAGGCUCUGCAGCAGGGCUCCGUGUGUGGGAGUGCCCUCAGAAUCACGGGAGUAGCGGGAAGUAAGAGCAGGCAGGGAGAGAGAGAGACGCUGAGCUGCAGUGCAAGGCCCACAAUAGCCUGGGGCCCAGGGAGUGAGAAUGGCCCCUUAGUUCAUCCCAAGUUGGCCCAGGUGGGCUAGUCCUUUGUGCCCUCCAUCCGGCAGUCACCGUGAUCUUGGCAAGAUGCAGCUGAGGCAAUUGUGAGUUGGAGAUGGAGGCUGUCAGCUCUCUGAGCAUCUCGGGCACAGUCACGUCAUUGACAGGAGAUCCGGGCGCUGCCUCAGGGCGUCUACCUCCUCCACACACCCACACGCAUACCUAGAGCUGUCAGUGCUUCUCAUUUUAGCCAUGCUGGUGGGUGUGUGGUAGCAUGUCCUUGUGGAUUCUACUUUGCAUUUCUCUAAGGUCAAUAGUAUUCAUGUGCUCGCUGGCCACUGGUUAUCCUUUUUUGUGAUGUACCUGCUCAUGUCUUUGCCCAUGGUUGUUUUUGCUUGUAUGUUGGUACUAGUUCCUUACAUUUUCUGGGUGCAUAUUUGUAAAGUUACUAUCCCAGUGCAGAGUUUGCCUUUUCACCCUCUUGUUGGAAUCUUUUGAUAACUAGAAGUCCUUAAAGUUAAUGAAGUCCAUGUACCAGUCUUCUCUUUUAUGAUUAUUGUAUUAUAUAGUCUUUUAAAGAAAUCUUUCCUUACUUCUGGGUGGUUCUUGACCUCCAGUCCCUCAGUGGUAUGCUGGGCUGACCUUGGUAUAGAAUAAUUGUGGAAUAAUUACUUCGGUCAUACGGAAAUGAUGGAACAAAGAGAAAUACAGCCACCAUUAUUAGUCUUUGUUUCAUAUUGUUAUUGAAACAUUUAAAUGACAAGUUUGGCUCUUGGCCAGUGUUUCUCUAAAUGUAUUUCAUUGAGCACUGUGUCUGUAUUGGGGGAGAAAAAAAAAGGAUUCCAUGAGCUAAUAAGCUUGAGAAGCACUUGGUUAAACACAGUUGAGCCGGUUCUUUACUCCUUAGCAUCGUCAGCAUCCUAAUGUAUAUUGGGUGACUUCAAGAGAGAUGGCAGAUGAUCUCUGUCCUCACAUUGUUUGACCACAGCAUGCCUUUUCCCCUCAGCGUUUCCCAGAAUGAGUGUUUCACAGGUGACUGGUUCAGUAAAUAUAUCUCCAGACAAAGGGUCGGAUAUUCGACAACAGCAAAAAAGAGGUAACAAAAAUACUGAUUCCAAAGGUCCAUAGUGAUAUUUUAAAAUAUCACUAAAAAUGAGGGGGGGAGAGGAUUAGCCUUUUUUUUUUUAUAAAGAAGUACCAGUUAAUGGAUACUAGAAGGAUAUAGAAUCAGGAAAGCAUCAUUGUGCACUCCCUCAUGUAAAGUUAAUUCAGGCAAAGAUCAGCAGUGAAUGCCAAGACCCAUGGGUAAAAAGGUCAUGGCGAAAUGGAAUCUUCUCGGGGUCUCUGUGCAGCUUUCCACAAAUUACAUCUUAAUUGCUAAGGGAAAGAGGUAGCUUUUCAGUGGAAAGAUCUGGCUAACACCAACUGAACAGAGUGAUCAAGCAGUAUAGCCAACAGUGAGACCAAAAUCCAUCUUGUUCUCCACUGUGACCCAUGAGAAACACCCCAUGUCACCUUCGUGGUAUCCUUGCCAGAAGCAUCUCCCCCACAUCUGAUCACAGGGAGGCCAUCACACAAAGCCACAGCACAGGCAUCCACAAAAAUAGGUGUGAAUGCUUCAAAAAAGUUUGUCUCAAAAAACAAAAAUGGUGGAGUUCCCAUUGUGGCUCAGCAGUUAACGAAUCUGACUAGCAUCCAUGAAGACACAGGUUUGAUCCCUGGCCUUGUUUAGUGGGUUAAGGAUCCAGCAUUGCCAUGAGCUGUGGUGCAGGCCGGCAGCUGCACUCUGAUUCAACCUCUAGACUGGGAACCUCCAUGUGCAAUGGGUGCAGCCCUAAAAAGCCAAAAAAGAAAGAAAAAAAGAAAAAAUUAGGUGAAUAGGGGGCUGUUCUAGAUUUAAGGAAACUAAAGAAACACUUUCAAGAAGAGUGGAAACAUCUUCCCUGCCUCUUCGUCUUUCACAUGUGCAGUGUGGUUCCACAGCAGAAUUCGUUGCCUAUGGAACAUCUCGAACGAAGGAAAAUAGGGCCCCGCCCUAAGGGAGCACAGCAAAAUCUCUGUGGGGAUCUCUGCAGAAAAUCCUGUGUUUCCUGUGAUCUGGAAAUUCAGGAACCUCCUUCCACGCAGAUUGUACUCCAUUCUUUUCCUGCUGAGAAUCAAUGAAUUAAGUGAAGAUUUUUCCAUGAACAUAAGUGGUACUCAUGAUACUUGCUGCCCAAAGAGCCAGACUUCUGGUUUCUUGCCACCUUCAUGGCUGAAUAAUACAAACUAAAGGAAAUCCAGCAUCUUCCAUAUCCCUGCGUGGCUGGAGUUUCUCCACAUCCUAAACAGAGACAAUUGCUAUUUAACACACUCACAUUAUUUCCUAUCGAGAAGGAUUUGGGGCUGGUGGUGGGUCUGCUUGUUUUCUCUAGCAAAAAUUAACUCACGUAAGCAAUUUCCAGUGUUUUCAUUCCCCACUCAGGGACCUGUGAUUUAAAAAAAAAAAAAAAAAAAAGGAGUUCCUGUCAUGGCACAGUGGUUGGCGAAUCCGACUAGAGGCCAUGAGGUUGCGGGUUCAAUCCCUGGCCUUGCUCAGUGGGUUGGGGUGUUGCCGUGAGCUGUGGUGUAGGUUGCAGAUGCGGCUCGGAUCCCGAGUUGCUGUGGCUCUGGCGUAGGCAGGCAGCUGCAGCUCCGAUUAGACCCCUAGCCUGGGAACCUCCAUAUGCCGUGGGAGCGACCCUAGAAAAGGCAA